GGAAGGGUGGCCCAGUGGUCAGGGAAGCAGCCUGGACUUGGGAGGCCUGGGUUUGAAUCCCUGCUCUGCCA
rnacentral:tRNA from 1 species